UUCAGCUUAAAUCACAUCCUGAAAACAGCAUCCUGCUACAGAAGCAGCGGCGGUCCUGGAAACAGACUGCUUGUAUAAAAAAUCCUGCGGGAGCCAGAUGCCCCCUACCCUGACAAGGACUGAUCAGUUGUAACUUAAAAAUGCUGACUCACUGGUACUGUGUGCCAAUCCAAAUGUUGCUGCUGGAAUCAACCACCGGGAGAGCCUGACGAGAUAUAACCCCACAGUGGCACAGGUUUUGACUGGGCCUCUUUGGUGAUUCCACGUUUCUUCUGCUGUUUUGCCCAGUCACUUCUUCCCUGUCACAUGAACCCAAAGGUUUGGACAGACUUAGGCAGAUGUCAGGUUGAAUGGUUACUGUGAAAAAUUCAUGGGAAUGUAAGGCUAACAAAUUCAGCAAAGUUGUAUCAUCCUUGGCAAGACUUCUGAGCUUUACAACCUUCACACACCUUUUAACAAUUCAAAAGGUUCUCAGACUUGCAUUUGAAACACACACAAGUAUUGCCAGUUGUUGUCAGAAAUAAAUAUCUGACGUAUUCUGCAGAGCUAAUUUUUGUGCUGAAUUAAACACAGAUUCAGGUGCAUUUCAGUGGUGUUUUCUAGACUUGUUGACUUAUCUUGCAUUUCAUACAAUUGGAAAGCUGCUUUUGUGUUUAUUUUAGUUUGU